UUGGCCACGACGUGGCUCCUCAUUGGCCAUGGCCGCAGAGGGGCGGAGAGACGAAGCCGGAAACAGUUUUAAACCAAGUUUGGACCGGUGCUUCUGUUUGUCAGUUCUGUGGGAAAACAGCGUUACUGAGGAGGUGUGGACGCUAAAACAAACUCUGGAGCUGAUUUUUUGUUUUCCACGAGAGAGACUGGACGCUGAAUACACCUUUGCCUGCGGCACGAAGAUGUUGUACUUUCACUGGUUCAGCUGCUGCAGCCUGGACAGAAACACCAGCUCUCACCUGACAAACCAAACAGGUGUCACCACUUCGUCCAUGAGAGUCUUCGUACAAUGAAGAAGUUGUUUGAGACCAGGACAGAGGCCUCCAGGUGUCACCACUUCAUCCACAACAUUGUCCACGAUCAAAGAAACUGGCCAUGACAAAAUCACAGUGACUGUGUUCUUCAUUUUGAAUGGAUUGUCCACGAUCACAGAGACAUUGUCCACGAUCACAGAGACAUUGUCCAGGAUCACAGAGACAUUGUCCACGAUCACAGAGAGUCUUUAUACGGUGAAGAAGUUGUUUGAGACCAGGACAGAGGCCUCCAGAUUCUCUCCAGGUGUCACCACUUCAUCCACAACAUUGUCCACGAUCAAAGAAACUGGCCAUGACAAAAUCACAGUGACUGUGUUCUUCAUUUUGAAUGGAUUGUCCACGAUCACAGAGACAUUGUCCACGAUCACAGAGACAUUGUCCAGGAUCACAGAGACAUUGUCCACGAUCACAGAGAGUCUUUAUACGGUGAAGAAGUUGUUUGAGACCAGGACAGAGGCCUCCAGGUAAUUCACAAACCGCUUUACAUCACCUGUCCAACACAGAGCACUGACAUUAAACUGUUUAUGUUCAGUAUAUCA